GCCUCGGCCCUGAGAGGAGGCGGGGACGGGACGCUGCCGCCGCCUUGUCACUGUGGAGGAUCCUGGAGGAGCCCGGCGGGGAGACUGGGGCCUGUUAGCGAAGCCAGGCCGCAUGAAGGCAAAGGCUUGAGCUGGAAGAAGGAGCAGACUGAGUUCUGACGACACCACCGGAGCCCUGGAUCCAGCCGCGCCUGAAGCUGGGCCUGCGCUGCCGAGACCGCAGGUCAGGAGCGCACCAACCGCCCCGCUUUUUCCUGAGCAAAUCUGAGGUAGCGGUGUGUGGGAGGCUGACAGUACAGUCACCGGGAACACACGUAAGAAGCCCGUAGAGCACAAGAGGACGGCACGUGGGUGACACGCAGCGGAACAGCUGUAAGACAAACAGCACGCACGGGGUAGCAGGAGAAGGGGAAGGACUCUAAGCUCUGGAUGCAAAUCUGCUAAAUUUCCCACGUUGCUGAUGCUUGGCACUGUCCAGGGUCCAGGUCUGCAGCUUCGACCCAGAGAAUCAUGCUCUGCCCCUGGCAGAGACGGCGACCCAUGGGCACAGCACAGGCUCGGACCCGGGUUCCCUGGGAGGUGAGCCGCCCUUCUGCGUCAUGGAGAUGACAGUCACAGCUCAGCCGUGACAGGACUGGGACCCCUCACCCUCUGCACCCAGACUCCAGAUGACCCCAGUGCUGCCCACCCGGGGACAGGUUUGGGAGCUGGACCAUUAUGACAGUUCUGUUCAUGGUCAUGCUCAGCCCAGCUCCCAAGAUGUCACUGGUCCCCAGUGCUCCUGGCAGA